rnacentral:rRNA from 1 species
CAUGGCGGCCGCGGGAAUUCGAUUGGAAACAGAUGCUAAUACCGAAUAAAACUUAGUAUCGCAUGAUAUCAAGUUAAAAGGCGCUACGGCGUCACCUAGAGAUGGAUCCGCGGUGCAUUAGUUAGUUGGUGGGGUAAAGGCUUACCAAGGCGAUGAUGCAUAGCCGAGUUGAGAGACUGAUCGGCCACAUUGGGACUGAGACACGGCCCAAACUCCUACGGGAGGCUGCAGUAGGGAAUCUUCCACAAUGGGCGCAAGCCUGAUGGAGCAACGCCGCGUGUGUGAUGAAGGCUUUCGGGUCGUAAAGCACUGUUGUAUGGGAAGAAAUGCUAAAAUAGGGAAUGACUUUAGUUUGACGGUACCAUACCAGAAAGGGACGGCUAAAUACGUGCCAGCAGCCGCGGUAAUACGAUAAUCACUAGUGAAUUCGCGGCCGCCUGCAGGUCGACCAUAUGG